rnacentral:pre_miRNA from 1 species
GGUCUGGUGCUGUGUGGAAGACUAGUGAUUUUGUUGUUCUGAUGUACUAUGACAACAAGUCACAGCCGGCCUCACAGCGCGGACU